GAUUUAGUCUAUGUUAUUCCAUGGUCUUCUUGAAAAACAAAAAUAAGAGAAUAUAAAUCUGGCUAUAUGCUGGGAUCUCCUGACAACUGCAGACUACUCGCUCCGACAUUCCGUCGGGACAGUGAAAAUGCCUGUAGGUUUUCCCUACGCGGGGAAAGCAGGACAAUCAGCAGGAAAGGCUCCGCUUCGGCGGAGAAUCCUCACAGACUAUACGCCAGACGCCCCGCUAAAGGCAGGGUAAAGAUAUAGUCGAUAAAUGUCGGACUCUAUCCA
rnacentral:ncRNA from 1 species